CGGUCGGUUUAGUAGAUUUUCAAAUAUCCAUUGACACCCCUGAUUGUGGUCAAAAAUCAACGACAACGACAAAGUUCUUCGAGUUUGUGUUUGACAGGUAAAAAUUUCCCCAUCUGCUUUCGUGUAAUUUCUUUUAUCGCCUUUCUUUUCUUUUCACAUGCCAAUCAAGUAAGAGUAAAUUAUCACAUGCAUGAAGAAGGUGAUCCUAGGGAACAAAGGGAUGGCAACUCAUCCCCGUCCGAAAACCGGUGAGAUAUUCUUCGGGCGCAAAGGAAUAUCAACUCAUCUAUUUACCAAAAGGUUGGUGGGAUAAUCUUCGGGCGCAAAAGGAAGGCAACUCAUCUCCGUCCAAAAAAUUAGUGGGAUAAUCGUCGGGCAAAAAGGUGCAUAUGGCAUAUAGCAAGACAAAUCCAUGGCAACAUAACGAAGGACAAACUCUCAACAACAUAUAGAAAAAUCAAGCCACAAGAAGACUAACUUAAGGUGCAAAGUGACUAAAAUGUCCACCUUAAAAUUGAAAAAUUAUAGUUCUUUUCAAGGACAAACCCGCAAAAAGGCCAACUUAAGGUACAAAGGGACUUAAACGUCCACCUUACAAUUGGAAAAUAAUAGUUCCUUUUAAGGACUAACCUGCAAAUAGGCCAACUUAAGAUGCAAAGGAACUUAUACAUCCACCUUAAGAUUGGAAAAUUAUAAAGCUCAACUGAUGACUUGAUGGACUUGACGACUUCAACUUGAACACUUGAACUUUGAAAACUUGGCGGACUUGAAAACUUCAACUUGAAGAGCAACAAACUUGAAGAUUUUGUAGACUUUAAGACUUUAAAUUGAAGAUUUGGCGGACUUGAAGAUUGGGCAGACUUUGACACUUCAACUUGAAGAGCGAUGGACAUGAAAACUUCAACUCGAAGAAUUAGCGGACUUGAAGACUAGCAGACCUGAAGGCUUGGAGGGAUUGAAUACUUCAACUUGAAGACCUGCGAACUUAAAAACAUCAGCUUGAAGACCGAUGGACUUGCAGACUACAACUUGAAUAUUUGGGGUCUUUCUAGAAUACUACCACCAUCUCAUCAGAGAUGUCUAUUUCUUAUGGAGGUUUUCCCCCAUAUAAACAUCAGUAUCUGAUAAGGCACAAAGCUCAAUGAAAGAAUACAUGUAAGUCCGAUUUUAAAGUGACAAAUCCAUUAUACUUCAAUUCGAACAAUGCUAGGGGCAAUAUAUAUUUUUGAACUCA
rnacentral:lncRNA from 1 species